GACGAACGCUGGCGGCGUGCUUAACACAUGCAAGUCGUACGGUAAGGCCCUUUCGGGGGUACACGAGUGGCGAACGGGUGAGUAACACGUGAGUAACCUGCCCACAACUUUUGGAUAACGCUAGGAAACUGGUGCUAAUACUGGAUAUGUGCUCCUGCUGCAUGGAGGGGGUUGGAACGCUACGGCGGUUGUGGAUGGACUCGCGGCCUAUCAGCUUGGUGGUGGGGUAGUGGCCUACCAAGGCGGCGACGGGUAGCCGGCCUGAGAGGGUGACCGGCCACAUUGGGACUGGGAUACGGCCCAGACUCCUACGGGAGGCAGCAGUGGGGAAUAUUGCACAAUGGGCGCAAGCCUGAUGCAGAAACGCCGCGUGCGGGAUGACGGCCUUCGGGUUGUAAACCGCUUUCAGCAGGGACGAAGCUUUUUGUGACGGUACCUGCAGAAGAAGCACCGGCUAACUACGUG
rnacentral:rRNA from 1 species